rnacentral:misc_RNA from 1 species
GAAAUGCGAUAAGUAAUGUGAAUUGCAGAAUUCAGUGAAUCAUCGAAUCUUUGAACGCACCUUGCGCUCCUUGGUAUUCCUUGGAGCAUACCUGUUUGAGUAUCAUGAAAUCUUCAAAGUAAAUCUUUUGUUAACUCAAUUGGUUUCUACUUUGGUAUUGGAGGUCUUUGCAGCUUCACACCUGCUCCUCUUUGUUCAUUAGCUGGAUCUCAGUGUUAUGCUUGGUUCCACUCGGCGUGAUAAGUUAUCUAUCGCUGAGGACACUGUAAAAGGUGGCCAAGGUAAAUGCAGAUGAACCGCUUCUAAUAGUCCAUUGACUUGGACAAUACUUUUAUGAUCUGAUCUCAAAUCAGGUAGGACUACCCGCUGAACUUAAGC